rnacentral:pre_miRNA from 1 species
UAGCAGCACAGAAAUAUUGGCACCUGAAGGAAAGUCAUGCCAGUAUUGAAAGUGCUGCUCCA